GUCUGACCGAGUGACGUAGGGAAAGGAAAAAUCAAACGUAAACAUACAGCCAAGGUAGAAAGUGGUGGAAAUUUGGUUUUCUUUAAAAAGUUUGCGCGUGAUUGAUACGGAGCUGCUGCGACUCCAGGUGACGGUGUAGCUGCACGGAAAGUCGGGAACGGUCCUGAAAGAAGAAGGAAAUUUCGCUAUUGCUGGCACGGCUCACGUUGGUAGAUCCGAGGAUUGGAGCAGGGAAACCAAUACUUUUAGCGAUUACCUACCAACUAAACCCGGUGUGAUCCGCUGAAAAGACGGCGUCCGAAAUCCUCCCCAACAGGCACCAAGUAGUGUCCCA